rnacentral:tRNA from 1 species
GCCUAGCUGGCUCAAUGAGUAGAGCAUGUGAUUCUUGAUCUCAGGGUUAUGAGUUCUAGCCCUAUGUUGGGUG